UACAGCAUUAAAUUCAUUUACAUUUAAAAUUCAUAUUUUUAUAAUAUUAUUUAUAUGUUUUUAGAUGCAGGAAUUCAGUAGACACACAUCUAUACCGUGGUUCAAAUGCUUUUUUGAUCCCAGAUUCUCCUAUAUUGAAAGGAUACUUAUCUCUGCAAUAUUGACAAUCGCUUUUGUCUACGCAUCUUCAUUGGUGUAUGCAGUCUGCAAUAAUGUAUUGAGUUAUCCACUAGUAACAAACAUAGAAUCGUUGCAGUAUCCAGCAUGGGAACAACCUUUUCCAACUAUUUUCAUUUGUCCUCUGAAUAGAAUCAGUAAAGAUGGUAUUACUAAACAGGUGGACAAAUGGAUCCUUCCCAAGAAUAUAAGCAAAAGAGAAAUGAUGUUGAAAUUGAGGUCAAUACCUAAUGGGGCUUAUAGAAUGACUAAAAUUGACUACCCUGAAAUCAUUGAAGAGACAAUGGCAAUGAAUAAUGUAUCUAUGAGAAGACUUUUCGAAGAGAUCACUCUACCUUGUGAAGAAAUGAUUGGUCUCUGCAAAUGGAAAUCAAAGGACAUUGAUUGCAGAGACCUUUUUGAAAGAGUUAUACAACAAGAUGGUCAUUGCUGUGCUUUCAAUUACAUUCAUCCAAAGCAAGAGGUCAAAAAAAGGAACAUUAAGAACAUGGAAAAAAUGUCUGGUUCAGGCUUUGCUACUGGUCUUAAAAUGUCAUUGUUCAUUAACUACUCAGAUGCUUUUUCUAGUUUUUCAUCUUCUUUGGGAUAUAUUAUAUAUGCGGGAGAUCCAGGUAGUUAUACAGAUGGUAGGUCUCUAGGCAGAAUUCUUCGACGGAGAUCAGCUAAUUUUUUCAGUUUCACAUCCACCAGAAUAGAACGAUCUGAAAAUAUAAUGCGACUUCCAGUAGAAUAUAGAGCCUGUUCAGGGCCAGAACAUCAAUUAUCUGCAUUCAGAAAAUACACCAUGUCAAAUUGCAAGACAGAGUGCAUCAUGAGGCUAUGUUUGAAAAAUUGUCAAUGUUUGCCUAUAAUAUAUCCAAAAUAUUCAGAUGAUCAACGAUAUUGUGAAUUCUCAGAUUUUAGAUGUUUGAGUACCCUUCGAGGUGCUAUUAACUACAUUUCUUCAGGCACAAAUCUGACUCUGUACACAGAUAACAAGCUUGAAAUAGAGAAUGCACGGCCCUGCGGCUGUCACCCAUCAUGCAGCAUUCAUCACUCGUUCGACGUAGCUGUUUCUUCCAGUCCCAUAAACAUGGACAUCUUGGCUAAGGACUUGAAAACCAACAUUAGCCUGGACAUAGCUAAAGAGAAGUAUAAGACAAUGGAAUAUUUCUGUGAUGUAUAUGUAUAUAGUCAAGGAAACAUGUUAACGAAAAUAAUCACAGAUAUCAAGUAUGAUGUUACUGAGCUAUUGGGCUUUAUCGGUACAAUAGCAUCAUUCACUAUGGGAUGGAGCAUAAUUUGUUUGAUAGAAAUAGUACAUUUUCUAAUACAACUGGCAUUGAAGUACUUUAUCAUCAAAAUAGAGAACGCAAGAGAAGUGGAAACAAUUGCAGUACAAUAACUCGCUUAGAAAAAACUGUAAGGCAAUAUGCAGAACCUUUCUGCUAGUUAUUAAAGAAGAUUCAACUCUCUUGUAUUACGUUGUGAUUGGACACUCUAUGAAAUACUAUAUGGAUAGAUUUGAGUUCCUUUUGGUGUGGUACACUCCUUUACACAAUUAAUUAAUCCGUAGAAUUAUAGAACACGGUUUGAUU
rnacentral:misc_RNA from 1 species